ACUGACGAGUCCCAAACAGGACGAAACAGCUGUCC
rnacentral:hammerhead_ribozyme from 1 species